GUGGGUACAGCUCAGUGGUAGAGUGCGUGCUUAGCAUACCCCAGGGCCUGGGUUCAAUCCCCAGUACCUCCA
rnacentral:tRNA from 1 species